AUUGAACGCUGGCGGCAGGCCUAACACAUGCAAGUCGAACGAGUGGCGGACGGGUGAGUAAUGUCUGGGAAACUGCCCGAUGGAGGGGGAUAACUACUGGAAACGGUAGCUAAUACCGCAUACCAUCGGAUGUGCCCAGAGGGGAUUAGCUAGUAGGUGGGGUAACGGCUCACCUAGGCGACGAUCCCUAGCUGGUCUGAGAGGAUGACCGGCCACACUGGAACUGAGACACGGUCCAGACUCAUACGGGAGGCAGCAGUGGGGAAUAGUGCACAAUGGGCGAAAGCCUGAUGCAGCCAUGCCGCGGGUAUGAAGAAGGCCUUCGGGUUGGAAAGUACUUGCAGCGAGGAGGCGUUACUCGCAGAAGAAGCACCGGCUAACUCCGUGCCAGCAGCCGCGGUAAUAC
rnacentral:rRNA from 1 species